CGGCCCCCGGCUCCCCCGCCCUCCCGCUCCCCGAGCUGCACCAAACAGCUCUCAGGUUUCUGCUGAUGCUGCAGCGUCAAGAAAUGGCUGGAGUUUGCUCCUCGCUCUUAUGCGUUCAGCAGCCCUGUCCAGCUCCUGCCUCCUCCUGCCUCCGCCGCUGCUGCUGCCGGGACGAGCCAAGCCCGACUCCGGGGAUGCGGCUGCAGGGCUGCGGCGCUCUGACAUCUCCGCCGCCGCCGCUAACCAGCGCCCGGCUCCUUUUCCAGCUGUCCUAAGGGAGGAGAGCUGGACAGCCAGCAGCUAUCUAAGACUCCUUGAUUUUACUGACUAACUCAAGCCUUUUGGAAAAGGUACUUUGCGCUCUUUUCCACUCCACCCCCCACUGCGGUUCUCGGCAGAAACUAAUUAAGCCCACUCGCCCUUGGUGCAGCCUAAGACAGUGUAUGAAUAUUUCAGUGUCUCGCAGGCAGCCCUGUAAAGCGAUCGCUGCGUUAUAAAGAGGGGCGCAAGAGGAGGAGGGUUAAGUUUGCCACUGCGGUUUUUGUUUUGUUUUGGUUUUGUUUUUUUUUUUGGAUGCUGCUGCAAGGCGACUUGACGCAUUCCGGCACUGGCUCCUACUCCUAAGCGGCGCGUCUCACCCGGAGCAGCUUCGUGGCAGCAGCUGCGGCGAUGGUCGAGCCAGCGAGAAAAGUGGACGGAUCGAGUUAAAGGCUAAAGGAGACGGCUGGGGAGGGGAACCCCAGCCUGGGGGUGCACUCCAUAGACCUUCAGCCUCCCGGUGUGGGGGACAGGACCCCUCACCUUACCUGCCCUCUGCCCCCCCUAAAGGUACUUCUUCCCUCUUUCUUCACCCUUCCAUCGUCCCUGAUGCCUCUCCCUUCAUCCCGCCUCUCAUUUCCCCUUUUGGGUAUUUCCAUCCCUUAGGCUCCACUUCCACCCCUUCCUCAAGCUCCCCAUCCCACCUUGACCCCCUCACCCUUGCAUCGCCCUGGGUCUCCCUGUGCUCCUCCAUCCUCCUCCUCCUCCUCCUCCUCCUCCUCCUCCCUUUCCCUCACUUCUCCCCUGCCCCUUGGU
rnacentral:lncRNA from 1 species